AUUGAACGCUGGCGGCAUGCCUUACACAUGCAAGUCGAACGGCAGCACGGGAGCAAUCCUGGUGGCGAGUGGCGAACGGGUGAGUAAAGUAUCGGAACGUGCCCAGUCGUGGGGGAUAACGUAGCGAAAGGUACGCUAAUACCGCAUACGAUCUAUGGAUGAAAGCGGGGGAUCGCAAGACCUCGCGCGAUUGGAGCGGCCGAUAUCAGAUUAGGUAGUUGGUGGGGUAAAGGCCCACCAAGCCGACGAUCCGUAGCUGGUCUGAGAGGACGACCAGCCACACUGGGACUGAGACACGACCCAGACUCCUACGGGAGGCAGCAGUGGGGAAUUUUGGACAAUGGGCGAAAGCCUGAUCCAGCCAUGCCGCGUGCAGGAUGAAGGCCUUCGGGUUGUAAACUGCUUUUGUACGGAACGAAAAGGACUGCCCCAAUACGGUGGUCCCAUGACGGUACCGUAAGAAUAAGCACCGGCUAACUACGUGCCAGCCGCCGCCGUAA
rnacentral:rRNA from 1 species